rnacentral:lncRNA from 1 species
UUUUUAUUUUUAUCUUAUAGUAUGAAUGUUUACAAUUGUAUUUGAAUUUGUAUUUUGAAACUUUAGUUUUUUGUAUAAUAUGUUUCGAAAUUUGGUAAAUAUUAUUUUCGGAUUCGGGUUUUCGAGUUUAGAAUUAGGUUUUGGGUUUUUGGUCGGGUUCAGGUUUGUUCCGGAUUCAGGUUCGGAUUCGGGUUUCGAAUCUUUGUCGAAUUCGGGUUUGGAUAUGAAUUUUUAAAAUUCGUCGGGUUCGAAUUCGGUUUCGGGUUCGAAUUUCGGAUUUGGUAGUCGGGUUCGGAUUCCGGCUUUUAAAAUUCCGUCCCGAAUCCGACUGGUUGACAU